GGAUGUGAGGGUGAUCUGGCUAUGACAUCUGUCACCCCGUUGAUCAACAGGGUUGAUUUCAGCUGAUCUGGCUGGCUAGGUGCAUGUCCCCUUCCUCCCUUACCACUCCGUGUGCCUCUCUCUUUCAGCUGUGAAUUCGGUCGAAGAGGUCAACCUUCCCGAUAGAGGAGGACCCUCCUCCCGUGAUGGGUAUACGGGUAGGUGUGCUCCCUUGCUAGAAUCUCCAAAAAAGCUCUCAAGCUGGAGAUCUUGGGUGCUGCUCAAGGGCAAUGGGUGGGAAAGUGGGAAGUUUGUGGGAGAAGGUAAAGAUUUUAAAAAUAGUGCUUCGUUUUACUUUGGAUCAGU
rfam:Canis lupus familiaris chromosome 4, whole genome shotgun sequence.